CCCUAUGGGGUGCAGCAGGCAAGCUUGAGUUAGAUCAACAACAGGGACAUGUCUUUUAAGUGCAUUAUAGAUGAACCAAUUAUCCCAACUUGGACGACCAACCAGGAAAGGUGGAAUCUCUUGUAGUUUUGAAUUUUUUGUAAAGGCGAAGUAAUCCAUUCCAUAAGCUUUAUGUAAUAUUCCGUUGCUCUUGACAAGUAGGAGAAGAUCACUCUGCCAUUGCUUACUCGCAAAAUCUAUCGGAGUAGACAAAUCCAAAUCGGUUCGCUGACCCACAGCCAAGUAUCGGUUAAAUUUAAUCCGUUUGAUGGUGUCAAUGAAUUGGCGGGAGAGC
rnacentral:rRNA from 1 species